UACGAAGGGUGCAAGCGUUAAUCGGAAUUACUGGGCGUAAAGGGUGCGUAGGCGGUUCGUUAAGUCUGUCGUGAAAUCCCCGGGCUCAACCUGGGAAUGGCGAUGGAUACUGGCGAGCUAGAGUGUGUCAGAGGAUGGUGGAAUUCUCGGUGUAGCGGUGAAAUGCGUAGAGAUCGGGAGGAACAUCAGUGGCGAAGGCGGCCAUCUGGGACAACACUGACGCUGAAGCACGAAAGCGUGGGGAGCAAACAGG
rnacentral:rRNA from 1 species